rnacentral:rRNA from 1 species
GUCGAGCGAACCACUUCGGUGGGAAGCGGCGAACGGGUGAGUAACACGUAGGUGAUCUGCCCAUCAGACGGGGACAACGAUUGGAAACGAUCGCUAAUACCGGAUAGGACGAAAGUUCAAAGAUGCUCCUGGCAUCACUGAUGGAUGAGCCUGCGGCGCAUUAGCUAGUUGGUGGGGUAAAGGCCUACCAAGGCGACGAUGCGUAGCCGACCUGAGAGGGUGAACGGCCACACUGGGACUGAGACACGGCCCAGACUCCUACGGGAGGCAGCAGUAGGGAAUCUUCGGCAAUGGGCGAAAGCCUGACCGAGCAACGCCGCGUGAAUGAAGAAGGCCUUCGGGUUGUAAAAUUCUGUUAUAAGGGAAGAAAGGUGAUAGGAGGAAAUGACUAUCAAUUGACGGUACCUUAUGAGAAAGCCACGGCUAACUACGUGCCAGCAGCCGCGGUAAUACGUAGGUGGCAAGCGUUAUCCGGAAUUAUUGGGCGUAAAGAGCGCGCAGGUGGUUAAUUAAGUCUGAUGUGAAAGCCCACGGCUUAACCGUGGAGGGUCAUUGGAAACUGGUUGACUUGAGUGCAGAAGAGGGAAGUGGAAUUCCAUGUGUAGCGGUGAAAUGCGUAGAGAUAUGGAGGAACACCAGUGGCGAAGGCGGCUUCCUGGUCUGCAACUGACACUGAGGCGCGAAAGCGUGUGGAGCAAACAGGAUUAGAUACCCUGGUAGUCCACGCCGUAAACGAUGA